UUUCUCAAAUUGGAAACCUAAGUUCCUAAUCAGAAACCCUAACCCUAAACCCUUUUGCCUCAGCCGCACCCUCACCCCUCUUUCACCCUCUUUAGCGUAACACACUCAGCCCCACUCAAACUCACACGCGGACAAGAGAGGAAGAAGGAGAAAAGGAUGGCGUCGGCAGGGUGGGUGCCGCUGUCGCUGUCGUUGCCACGUCUGAGGGAGAAUGAGAUCAACAGAGUGUGCAGUUGCUGAACCCAAGAUCGCUACUGCUGAGGGCUUUGUCACCGCCGUCCAUGGAACCAUGAGUCGCGCCGCUGUCACUAAGGGGAGGAGGGAGAAGGCGUGAUGCUGGAGGAGCGCAACCCGCCGCGUCGCCGUAGGUCCCUUGCCAUCGAGCUCGAAGGAGCAAGGGAGAACGACGUUGGGUUUGAGGGAGACAGAGGUGGAGUGGCGCGAGGUGGAAGGCGAGCUGUUCGCGUUGCCGUUUGCGCCACCGUUACUGAGCCUUAGCGCCGCCGCCGCCGGGUCUCACUGCUAUGCGUCGCUAUCCAAAGCAGAGAGUCACGAUGGAGCUUUGUUUGUGCUUCUCUGGUCUGCCGAGAGAGGAGCUCAUGGGUGGAGGAUGGCCAGUUGAGGGAGAGAACGCCGUUGAGUGGGCCGUGACCACCUCACGUUGCUGCUGGCUCUGUUUGAAAAUGGCUGCUACUUAUGGAAUCCCAGAUCGGAGAGGAGAGGAGGCGUUUAACCUUGUCAUUGUUGCUGCCAUGGAAAUAGGUGCUGGAAACUGCUAUUGGAGCAGCUGUGUUUAGUGAUUUUUGCGAGUUUCGACUUUGAGGUUCGAAGACUCAAUUUGAAGCUGCGGACGAUUGUUGGACUAUAUUUAUGAGUUAAAUGUAUGAGUUAAAUUGCUUUCAUAGAGUUUCUUCGCACUUAUUGCUUAAGAUUUUUAUUUUAUACAGAGGAUAUGAUUUGUAUCUGAGUUUUAUUUGAAAUCUUUUGUAUGAUAGAUAUUAUUAUUAAUAAUUAUGUGAUUAUUAUUACUUUGAAAUGUUUGAUAUAUGAUUUUGAUAAUCAAAAACGAAAUUUUCUGGAAUUUUCUUAGAAACUGAAACACAAUAUCGAACUAAAGGCUCAAUAGUAAAUAGUUAAUAAAGAAAAGCAGGUUAGUAACGCCUUACUUUCAGUACGAUCAUGAUGUUUUGAAAGUUGGGUCGUUACAUCCUCCAAUUGUUCCAAUACAAAGUCUAACUCCUUAUUCUCCACCGGAGUUUCUAAUCUCUCCUUCAUGCUAUGCUCUUCUUUUGAUCUUUCGCAUUGGCCACGGAAGUACCUUGAGUCUUCAAGCAUUGGUAGGCUAAAGUAUGCACUACCUCGGUCAA